rnacentral:rRNA from 1 species
GGAUGCGAUCUUACCAGCACUAAACACCGGAUCCCAUCAGAACUCCGAAGUUAAGCGUGCUUGGGCGAGAAAGCGUGCU